AUGUACGGCGCGCCGCUGUCCAAGGACCUCAACCUGCCAGCCCAGCUGCAGCCGGCGGCCAACGGGGUGCGCACGCCGCCGCAGAUGAGCUCCCCCGGCCUGCUGCGGUACCGGUCGGCCCCGAGCGCCAUGUUCGGCGACGUGUGCGGGGACUUCCUCCCGGCCUCCGCCGGCGCCGGUGCCGGGCACCGCCAGGGCAGCCCGGACCACGCCGCCGACACCGGCUUCGCCCGCUUGCUCUCCGGCCACCACCACCAGCAACACCACCCCGAGAUGAGGGACAAGCCUCCCCGCCCCGCCGCCAGCCACUUCACCGAGGACCCCGCCGCCGCCUCCAUGGCCUCGCAGCAGCAGCAGCAGCUCAUGUACCAGUCGCAGCAGCAGAUGGCCGCCAUGGAGGGGCUGUUCCGCACGGCAAGCUCCGGCGCCACGGACCCCGUCGCCGCCGGCAACGACAGCCUGCUCCGGCAGAGCAGCUCCCCCGCCGGGUUCGUCAACCAUCUGAACAUGGACAACGGCUACGGGAGCAUGCUCAGGGCGGGCAUGGCCGGCGCCGGAGGAGGAGGGUACAGGAACGGCGACGCGCGGCUCAAGGGGCAGCUGAGCUUCUCGUCGCGGCAGGGGUCGGUGAUGUCGCAGAUCUCGGAGAUGGUCGGCGAGGAGAUGGGCGGCGGCGGCAGCAGCGGCGACGACGAGGCCGGCAGCAACGGCGCCGGCUACGGCGGCAUCCCCGGGUACCCGGUGGUCGCCCCCUCCGCCGCCGCCGGCUGGGACGAGCCCUCGCCGUCCCCGUCGCCCUCGCUGCUGUCGUCCGACGGCAUGUCCGGGCCGGCCGCGAAGCGGCGCCCGCGCGACGGCGCGGCGCGGCAGGUGAAGCCGCAGUUCAGCCUGCCGGCCGGCAGCAAGCCGUCGCCGUCGCCCGAGAUCGCGGCCAUCGAGAAGUUCCUCCAGUUCCAGGACUCGGUGCCGUGCAAGAUCCGCGCCAAGCGCGGCUGCGCCACCCACCCCCGCAGCAUCGCCGAACGGGUGAGGAGGACGAAGAUCAGCGAGCGGAUACGGAAGCUGCAGGAGCUCGUCCCCAACAUGGAGAAGCAAACCAACACCUCCGACAUGCUGGAUCUCGCUGUCGACUACAUCAAGGAGCUCCAGAUGCAGGUCAAGGCGAUGAAGGACGGCCGGGCGAGCUGCACCUGCGCGGCGGGCAGGCCGCCGAGGAGCUUCGCCAGCUGA
rnacentral:rRNA from 1 species